UCAAGGCCUACGUGACUUGUCUCACACACAUGGAAAUCGACUGCGGCUGCGACUGCGGUUCUGUCAGACAGACAGACGGACGGGACGGGACAGUCUCGUCUCUGGGUGCAGAGUCCCCGUUAUUUGAGCGUAAACUAGCUCAAUUCGCAUUUAUUAUUUAAUCGUCUCUCUGCCAACGCCACUAGGAUCACUCUCUCUCUCUCUGGCCACAUGAUCUGUACGCUUCUGGCACGUGCUGACCGUGCUGGGUAUUACGACAGAGAAAAAGGUCUUUGACUGUUGUCAGCUGAUCCCAGCCAGAGAGAGAGAGAGAGAGAUGGAGAGCGUGAGGUGCGCUAGCUGUUAUCUCCCUCUGUUCCACCUGUUUGGCAGCAUAAUGAUGACAAUCGUAACAAAACGAAUGCUUCUUCGCAGGACCAUCAGCGGCAGGAACAGCAGACAGAGGCUGUAAAGUUUAUAUAGAAUAUUAUAGUGGAAAUUAUGGGGGAUCAAUUACUUAUCUUAUAGCGAAACCAUGCCAAAAAAUAAAUAAAUGAGUGAAUAGUAA